rnacentral:lncRNA from 1 species
UCGGACUUCUAAAAUUAUGAAGUUACGAUAUACAUUUGGUUGGAAAGCCAUUUGAAUGGUUCCGGUGAGGUUACUGUGGAAUGUAAUAUACCGGAUUUUAAAUAUAAAAAUAAAAAUAAAUAAAAAUAGUUUGAGAUAGUAUUUUUAUUGGACUUAUAGAUAUAAAAUAUAAGUCUAGAGUGACCCGUGUUGAAAUCAGAGCGAAAACAGAAGAUUUAGAAUUUUCUGUGAGAGACAGGGCAGACGAAAAAUAUCUGUACCGUGCUGCUAAACUGAACGUGAAUAGUGUUCUUGGAUAACUUGGAGGCCAAGUUUCCUAGAUAACUUGGAGGCCAAGUUUCCUAUGAAACUUGGAGGUCAAGUUUUCCAUGACACUUGGGGACCAAGUUUCCUAUGAAACUUGGAGGCCAAGUUUCCUAUAUAUAUAUAUAGGGGACUUGAGCCUUUUCUUUCUUUCUCCCUCACACUUGCAACCAAAGAGAAAUAUCUCUCUCUCUAACAAUUUCUCCACCAAAGAGAGGAAUUGGAGGUNAAAACUCACCUCAAGUGGAAAACCCUCUCUAAAUCCUCAAAUGGAAGGUAGAGGUCUUCCAAUCUAACCUAUAUAAAGGUUCCAAACCCAUCAAUUAGGUCUCAUAACCCUCAAAUCCAAAAACCCCCAAAAUAAACCCUAAAUCCCAAAGUCUAGGGUUUCAUCUAGAAAAACCUAGGAAAACGAGUAACAAAUGGGGAUUACAAGCUACCAACCUCAAGAGAAGCCCCAAUCCAAGCUCAAAAUCAAGUAGGGUUGAGGUUUGAUCCUCCACAAGGCUCCAACCGCAAGCUCCAAACCUCCAAAGGCGAGAAAUGAGGAAGAAGAUGAUGCUCCGAGGCCUCUAUGCAAACUCUUCUCCUCUCCUUCUCCUUCUUCUCCUUCCCUUUCUCUCUCUAGAAGUGUAGGAAGAGUGUGAGGGAGAGAAAAAUAAGAGUGAGAGGGGAGGAGAGGCUGCUUAUAGCCUCUAAGGUAACAAAAUCCAACCAGGCCCCUCAAAAACUCAAAUUUACCUCAGUCCGGACUGGGCAGUUUUCGCCCAGAGGGACCGGUCUCUCCCCAGCAGGGACCGGUCUCUCGCUGCGAACCCGAAAAACCAGCGUUCGGGAACCGGUCUCUCCCUGCGCGGGACCGGUCUCUCCCCGCGCAGACGCGCUCGGGGACCGGUCUCAACUGCCAGGGACCGGUUGCCUCGCCUGCUGCGCGGCACUGUUCACUGGGGGACCGGUCUCUCCUAUCAGGGACCGGUCCCCGAGAGUCAAAACUCUCAGGACCCUGCCAAAGCUCUCGAGAUCGAACUUCUAGGCCGGUAUACCAUCGACGGCCCUCCACCAAGUGUGGAAAAGUUCGGAAUACCAAUCGAACACUCGAACCUCGCAAUUUGCAAAGGUCCAGUGUGCUACAAGUGUUGAGGCAGCCUGAGGCAACCGGUCCCUGGCAGGCGAGACCGGUUCCCGAACGCGUCUUCGCAGUGAGAGACCGGUCCCGCGCAGGGAGAGACCGGUUCCCGAACGCUGGGUUUUCGGGUUCGCAGCGAGAGACCGGUCCCUGCUGGGGAGAGACCGGUCCCUCUGGGCGAAAACUGCCCAGUUCGGGCUGAUGUAAUUUUGGGUUUUUGGAGGGCCUAGCUGGAUUUUGUUACCUUAGAGGCUAUAGGCAGCCUCUCCUCUCCUCUCACUCUCAUUUUCUCUCAACCCUUUGCAUUCUAGAGAGAGAAAAAGAGAAGGAGAAGAAGGAGAAGAAGAGGAGAAGAGCUUGCUUGGAGCACCAUCUCCUUCCUUAUUUCCCACCUUUGGAGGCUUGGAGCUUGCUUUUGGAGCCUUGUGGUGUAUCAAUCUUCAACCGUAGAAGAUUUUGGGCUUGGAUUGAAGCUUCCAAAGGGUUUGUAUCAUAUUUCUCUCCUCUAGAUUCUUAUUUUUGUGAUUUUUGGGAGAUGAAACCCUAGAAUGAGAUUUAGGGCUUAUUUUUGGGGCUUUUUGAUCUAGGGCUUUUCGACCUAAAUUGAUUGGUUUAGAACCUUCCUAGGGCUUGGAUUGGAAGGGUUCUAGCUCACUUUUGGAGCUUAGGAGAAGAUUUCUCCUCUUGAGGUGAGUUUUGCCCCUUUUUGCUCCUAGGUUAAUGUUUGUUGUUAUAGGGUGGUGGUAAUGCCCUCGUAUCUCUUCGCUGGUUACUUUUAGGGUAUUUUGAGACUCGGGGACAACUUGGUUCGGCGAGACGAGGCUCUACGCGACGGUUCGGUGGGUUUGACCUAGCCACACAAUGAGAAAUUCUCAUUUGUGCUUAAUUAAGUGUUGUUAAAUGAAAAAGCAUGCAUAUUCUUGUUAUAUGUAUUUAUUGUGAAUUUUAGAAUGCUUAAAAGGCCUAUGUUAUAUAUGAUGACAUUUUGGACCUCUAUGUAGUAGAGAAUAGCUUAUUAGGCCAUAGUUGCAUUUGGCAUUCUAUAUGAG